UAUAUAUUUUAUCUAUAUAAAUAAACCACAGAUUAGAGUUUUAACUACAUUCUAGCAUGAAAAACAGUUAAAACUUCAUUUUCGGACGCAUAUAGAGCCAUCGAAGACGGGGCAAUUGUCCCAAUGUCUAGCCUGAAGACAGGCGCCUCUCGGCGGAUGAGCGCCGUUACCGCCUGGAAGUCAUAGAUCUCCGCUACCGGCAAAACACACUUAAAAUUACACACAAUCUUUACUAACAAUCCACAGAUUUGAGUUUUGAAGAACUACAUUCUCGCAUGAAAAAGUGUUAAAACUUUAUUUCAUUACAUAUUACAAGCAAUAUUUAUAAUAUUAUGUGCCUUCUCAUCCACCAUUACAGCUUGAUGCAGCUUGGUGCAAAAUGAAUCCUGGGAGGAAAAAAAUAAUAAUUCUCAAUUAAUACACUCCAAACGAACUUUAUUCUUAUUGUUAAAAUCAGAGAUAUGUAAUAUUUUGAAUGGCGAAGAAAAUAAUUAACUUUAUAUUUCAAUCAAUAUAUUACUUUUGCACUGCUUCGGUUCAGGACUCGUGUGACAUUGAAUCAGAUUCAGAUAUUUUAUCAGACGUGUUCAUGAGCUCAUAGUCAUCAACAAGCAAUUCGUGUACAAGCAGUACACGAACCAAGCAAUAUGAUGAAAUAUUAAUGAAUUAUAUGUUUGCGUCUUACAAUAUUAUACAAAACGGAAUCGUUUUCAGGCGAAUUCGACUCUUUACUGUUCACUUAAAGGAGCCGAAUUCAACUCUUUACUGUUCACUUAAAGGAGCCGAUUCAUUUAACAGAACUGACUCGACUCAACCGCAAACAAGCGCCAUCACCACAGACAACGCGUCGUCUCUUCACCCAACGGAUUCAUCCUCGGUGUACCUGAUAAUAGCUGAAGUGUGA
rnacentral:lncRNA from 1 species